rnacentral:rRNA from 1 species
GUUCCAGAAUAAUUGGCUAUACAUUUUAAUUUUUAACUCUAUUUGUUGUUAUAUUACUUUUUUUUAUUCUUUUUUAUGUUUUUUUUUGUAAAAUGUUUUGAUUUUUUUGUAUUUUUUUGUAAUAUUUAAAAUUUGUUUUUUGAACUGGAUUAGUACCCAGGUAAUCAAAGUUUAUUAAUUCGGGAGUAAAGUUUUGUUUAAACCGAAAAAAUAUUGACUGACUUUAGAUUUUUCUUUGGAAUAUGUGUUUUUGGAGAGCCCUCUUUUUUGGUGAAUUUUAUUGGCACAUGUAUGAUUGUUUAGUUUUUAUGUUAUUUGUGUUGCUUUU